AGUCCGGGGACUUCGAUAGGAUUGGAGAAGGUUUGUGUUCCCGACGCCUUGGUAGUUGGCAUAGGCUAAAGAAAAGGGAUCUCAGCCCCGAGGAAGGGUCACCCUCCUAGAGAUAGCUACUACCCCGUCUCAGGAGACCCUGGUAUUUCUAGAGCACGCUUUGCUUUCACCAAACCCAAGGAGGUGACAGGAGGAGCCCCCGCACAGGACCUAAGAAUGCUGUGACCAGAAGAUGGGAUCGCGGAACAGCAGCAGUGCAGGAUCCGGGUCCGGAGACCCCUCCGAGGGCUUGCCCCGAAGAGGGGCUGGCCUGCGUCGGAGUGAGGAAGAGGAAGAAGAGGAUGAAGAUGUGGAUCUGGCCCAGGUACUGGCCUAUCUCCUCCGCAGAGGAAGAGAAUGACAGAGCUUGGGAUGGUCGUCUUGGGGAUCGAUACAACCCACCUG
rnacentral:misc_RNA from 1 species